GGCGCAGUAGCUCAGUGGUAGAGCACACGGUUGCAAAUCGUGGGGUCCCGAGUUCAACCUCGGUUGCACCU
rnacentral:tRNA from 1 species